rnacentral:rRNA from 1 species
UACAGGGGGGGCAAGCGUUGUUCGGAAUUACUGGGCGUAAAGGGUUCGUAGGUGGCCAACUAAGUCAGACGUGAAAUCCCUCAGCUUAACUGGGGAACUGCGUCUGAUACUGGAUGGCUUGAGUGUAGGAGAGGAAUGCGGAAUUCCAGGUGUAGCGGUGAAAUGCGUAGAUAUCGGAAGGAACACCUGUGGCGAAAGCGGCUCACUGGACCAUUACUGACGCUGAUGCACGAAAGCUAGGGGAGCAAACAGG